rnacentral:tRNA from 1 species
GGCGGAAGCGCUCAGCAGGUUAGAGCAGCGGAAUCAUAAUCCGCGUGUCAGGGGUUCAAGUCCCUCCUCCGCUG